AUUUGGGGUCUAUAACAUUUCUCUUUAUUUUCUCAUUAUGGGCUAUUUAUUAUUUUAAGACAUGACUUUUUCUCUUUCUACUUAUUAUUAUUAGUUAUUUCUUGUGUUAGAUUAUUAAACCAUAGUUAUUCAGUUAGAUGUAAUUCUUAUGGGAAGUGAUUGAGACCCCCCUCCACCACCCCCCACACACAUGUGGGGGUUGGUGAUUGGAGGAGGAGGAAAAAACAAAACAAAACAAAACAAAAAAAUUGGCCAAUCAUAGGCCAGAGGGGCUCAUGGGGGUGCCCUCUGUGGGGGUCCAAAUCAUUUUUCAAUUCUUAUUUUGCGUGGUUAGCAUUACACUUAAAAUAAUUUAGAUCACACAUUAAUUUUUACGCGUACAUUUUUGUAAUUUUUGUGCAUGUAGCUCAUUAAUGUUUAUUGUAUAAUAUCUUUCAAUUUCAUUGACCAAUCCCAAUAAUAAAUAUUGAUUGAAUAUUUACAGUCAAUACCCAAAUAUUGAACUUCUUAUCUUUUUAUCUUAUGAAAAAGCUCAAUGACGAAGAACAACAACAACGCAGAUCCUCUUAACACUUUUUCUCAGCAUUGGAUGCUGAUGAAUAUGGAGGUGAUGGAAGCUGAUUUCAUGCAAAUGAUAUUGAAUGAAGAAAUUGAAGCCCAGAACAAUUGUUUGGAUGAUGAGAAAGAAUUUGGGCCUAUAUCAAGUUCAAGAGAUGAUCAUCAUUUAAUACAAGUAAACUUCACAAAGGAUAUUCAUGAUACUGAGAAGCUAAUUCAAAAGAAAAAUGAAGCUUAUUCUCAAAUUGCUGAAAAAUUACUAAAAGGAACGGUGGAUUGGAACCUUGUAAUUUUAUAAUUACGACAUCUAUAUAGGAACUCUUUCAAAUAUCCUAUAUCAUCGAGGAGGAACGAAAUGGAGACUUUGCAGCAAUGUUUGAAGGAAUUUCGGCCUUCAAAGAACCCUAACCCUAACUGAGGGAGAGACUCUCAGAGAGUUAUAAUUGGUAAAAACUCACCACCUGGAUGCCAUGUUAUUUCAAAGUUCGAGCACCUACCACUACAUUAUUCAAAUAGUUUUUGGGCAUGGAAGAACGAAGUCGAGAAUUUGCAAAAUUGUCUCUCAGAGCUUCAUCAUUCGAAGAACCCCAUCCGAGUAAGGGGAGCUAUUGGAGCAUACUCUCAGGACUAACAACUCAAUUGCUUUGUAAAGAGUUUGAACUAUCAGAUACAACACGACAGUAACAGUCUUGCAGAGGAGAAGAAGCUUCUUAGAGAGAUAAAACAGAAUGAAGCAAAAAUAAAUAAUAUUAAACUUAAUAAUAAUAAUGUUAAUCCAGAAGCU